GGAGAAGAAGAUUGGGAAAUCUGUUUCUCAUGUAUUUACAGCCACAGUUACUAAUUGUACUGCACAAGAAGUCCAA